rnacentral:ncRNA from 1 species
UCCUUAUCCCGUGGUGAUUUGGCCGGCCGGCUUGCAGCCACGUUAAAGAAUUCGCUAAAAGAGGCCGCGGUCCCGGACCG